rnacentral:rRNA from 1 species
AUUGAACGCUGGCGGCAGGCUUAACACAUGCAAGUCGAACGAGUUGCGGCCGGGUGAGUAGUGCUUGGGAAUCUCGCUUAUGGAGGGUGAUCACUACGGGGAACUGUAGCUAAUAACGCGUUCCAUAGGGUGAGCCCAAGUGGGAUUAGGUAGUUGGUGAGGUACCGGCUCACUAAGGCGACGAGCUCUUGCGGGUCUGAGAGGAUGACGAGCCACACUGGGACUGAGACACGGCCGAUACGCCUACGGGAGGCAGCAGGGGGGAAUAUUGGGCAAUGGGGGCAAGCUGGCGCAGCCAUGCCGCGUGAAUGAAGAAGGCCUUCGGGUUGUAAAGUUCUUUCGGUAGCGAGGCGUUAACUACAGAAGAAGCACCGGCUAACUCCGUGCCAGCAGCCGCGGUAAUUC